rnacentral:misc_RNA from 1 species
AACUGAUACUACCUGCGGGAACCUGCGGAAGGAUCAUCAUUGAAUAAUAUCUCAGGCCUUGGGGGAAUUUUCUUCUGAGGCUUGCAAACAACUUUGAUACCCAAAAAGAUAUUUUUCUUUGGUUUUUCAGCUUGGGCUCAUUUGUUUGGGUUUGGGUUGAUGGCUAGAGAAGAAGGGGUGAAGAGGGGAGACUCUCUAAGCUCUGGAAAUUAUAACAUGCGGUUGCCUGAUAAAAAGUGU